rnacentral:lncRNA from 1 species
CAGGGAUCAGCAAUGGCUUUUGUCUCUGGCCUGGACUGCAGGGAUCUGGCUGUGCCUAGAUGUGAAGAGGCAAUGCACAGUAAGGAAGAAGGCACAUGUGCGGGCGUGCAAGCUUGGGCAGGUGCACAUGGAGCCAGCAAGGAUUCUCCAGGGAGCCACCAUCACCCUGAUAUCCAGCGGGAGCUGGUCUGAGCUACGUUACUCCCAAGCCCUGCUAGCUGGCUCCCCAGGAAAGCAAGAACUCACACAAAUGACUCUUGGGCGUUUGUGGAAGAGCUGAGUCCUCAUCACUUCCUGUGGGCCUUUCUGAGCAUAAUAAGAUCCUCUCUCUUGCAUCAGCCAACCCAGGAGCUGCUGAUAAACCAUGGCACAAGCUUGAGCCAGAGUUGACCUUAACCAUUGACAGCCCACUGAGCACUCAUCAUGUGCUAAGCAUUAUCUCAUUAAACCUUCACCACAAUCCUGCAAGGUAGGUGCUGUGUUACCCCAUUUUACAGAUGAGGGGAACCAAGGCCUACAGUUCCACAGCAGAUAAUCUGCAGCAGAAAAAUUCAACCUCCAGGCAAUUCUGAAUGUAGUCAUUGGUGACGGAAGAAAAUAUUUGUCUCUGAAAGCCAUCCGUGGAGAUCAUAAAAUCAUUCCUACAUCUUGCCUUGAGCUAGCAGAAUGAAAUUGCCCAGAGUGGAAAAAGUCAAAAUGUUCUUUUUGAGAGCUUGGCUUUCCUGUGGGUGAUUUUCCAAGGUGGGUACUUCAUUGACCAACAUUUGAGUGUGACAACAGCAUCCAGCACGGACGGUUCAGUUCCUCACCUCAGGCCAAGGGGCUCCUGUUCUCUUACUUCUGGAAGGUGGGGUCUAGUUCACCCCUGCAGCCUGCUGAAGCUGUGUGCUCCAAGGGCCAGGAAUGGAUGGAGCAGGUGCAGAUGGGAUGGGUGAUGCAGCGAUAGCAGCCGCGGCACUGAGAUCGUGUCACACGUGAGUUCUGAGCCUUUUCUCCGCUUAGGCUGCAAAUCCUUGGCAAUCGGAGGCAGGCUCUGAAUUAAGCUUAAUUAAAACUCACUCUUAAUUAGGGCCAUUACUUAAAAUCAACUCUAUGUAAUAAAGCCGUGUAAUCAUAAUUAAGCCCCAGGAAUGGAAUUAGGAAGCAGGGAAUGUGAAAGCCAAAUACAAGGGCCUUGUGAUGGUGGGGGUGACAGAGCCUUCUUCUUCAAUUAACAGGAUUUUUAAGUAAAUGAGCAGCAGCCAGUCGUGGUGACGACUUGGGUAGCCACAGGCAUGGUGAGCACACCAGAAAGGGGACGGACUUGAAGAAAGUAGACCCCAGGGGCAAUGGGCUCAGGUAGUGUGAUGGGUGACAGGGACAGUCACAAUGUCCAAACUGUCUUUAAUUUAAAAUCCUUGCUUCCUAAGGAACUCUUGUUAGAGGAGCUUGGAUCAGCACAGCCAAGGUCAGCGCUAUCCACCUGUCUUCUGGCUGCUGAUGUCACAGUCAUAGUGAUUGAUCCUAAGGAGAAAAGGGAAGUGACUCCUGGUGGCAGCCUCCUGCUUUGAUAUCAUUAAUAAGCCACCAAAGAGUGGGGACACAAUUUGGAAAUGAAAGGGCCAGUUUUGCAGGUUGGACGUACCAGAUGCUGGCAGUGGCCUAGGGUGUUGUUUCCUUCUCAAUUUCUUGAGCUAUGGUGUGGAAAUUGAAAUAGGCAGUGCCUUCAGGUUGUUCUGAUAAAUAUAAAGCAUUUAUAUAGCAUAGUGUUUACCGUAGUGCCUACAAACAACAGCAAAGUUUAUAUAGUUCUAAUAUAGGUAUGCUGCAGUAAGCACUGUUGUUUAUACGUUUGAGACCGCUGUUGGCCAUAGAUGUCAUAUUAAAUAGACAUCAUUUUCUUUAAUUUAUACGUAAAUAACUGUGGACUCAAAGAGGCCCAGGAACUCACAUAGGACAAGUAACAUCCCAUGGGAAGGAAGUGCAUAGAAAGAGCCACACAUGCAAGAGUUAUAAAGGCAGUGUCUGCCCCAGCUUGUUACUGAUCAGAGUCGGUGACGCCCACCGGAGAACAAGUGCCUAGAAGCACAGGCCUCUCAGAGAAGGCUGCUCUUUCAGGCCUAGUUUCUAGGCCCAAGCCUGUUUGUCUAAUUCUGCCAAAGAAAGAGACUUGCUCAUUCCAGAGUUAUAGAGUUGGAGGGAAAGUACAGACAGUUUCUUCUCCCAGCUUCCCCUCCAUUUCAUUUUCUUUGCUCAGGGUUCUUGGGGUUAUUCUUAGAAGUGGUAAGGGGGUGUAGACAGCCAUAACCUUCACCUCCUGUUUCCCUUUUAUAGCCCCCAUUUCUCCAGGAGUGUCUCCUCCUGUGGGCAGGUACAGACAUCAUGCCUGGUACCAGGUUAAAGCUCUGCACACACAUUGUCUCUUUUAUUCUGCAUCCAAGCUUCAAAGGUUGGGAUCAUCAUCUGUGCACUGCAGAUAGCAUGCUCUUCCAGAGAUGCAGGCUGGAGCGGGUCCCCCGGACAGUUUCUACCCAUGGCAGCAUCAGCACUGAAGUUACACCUUUGACUCAGCCAACAUCUCAGAGCUCACGUUUCCCAAGCAGCCUUGGGUCCACACAGCGACUCCCCUUGACGCUUGCAGGCCUCAGAACUCGCUGAGCUCAGUUCUCCUGAUUGGUCUUCAAGACAGUACAAGGUAGAAAUUCAGCUGGGGCCAGGUCGUCAUGAAGUCAUCCAACUCUGACCUUUAAUAUCAUCGUUAAGUGAAUGAUACACAUGCAAAUGUUGGUUGGGCGGGCUAUGUUCAAAGUGUUAGAUACUGAGGUCUUGAAUCUUUCACAGUUUUGGCAUGGCUGGCUUAACAUUUCUGCAUUUGUUAAUGAACAGAAACCAUCAUUAGAAAGAAAGCAGGAUACAGGCUAACCAGUGAAGGUCUGGGACAUAACCUAGUGGUCACCUUUGCUCAUCUCUGACUGGGACUUUGUGCUUUUGGGCUCCCUAGAGAGGCCAUCUUGAUUAGAGGCGUAGGCCUGGAGAUAGGGGGCACUCUAGUAAGGAAAGUUCAUGAUUACCACCAGGUAGCACUACAAAUCAACCAUGAACCCUUGUUCUUGAGAGAGGGAAGACUGUGGCAGGUAAGAGAGCUAGAGACCAGCUUGGGUCGCUCAGGCUCCACUCUCCCACUGAGCGGUACCUCCCCUCCCCUCCCAUCUCCACACCAAGCUUCCCAUGUGGUGGCCCUGACCUGUGUGAAUCCAUCAUGGAGAGCAACUGGAGAGCGGGUUAGUGCCACAUGGGAGGGGAAGGCUCCCUGGUGUGUAUGGUAGGCUUUCAGGUGCUUACCGACCCCAGCACUUGACCAGAAGAAGCCUCAGUCCCUUUCCUAGCAUGACCCCUUUGUCCUUCAAGAUCAUUUGCCUCUAUUUACACUAAAUAGAGGCAGCUCCAUUUUUGAGUUCCUGUAUUUUGGGCAAGCCAAGCUGGAGGUCCCCACAGCCGGUCCAAGCAGGCCUCAGCUGUCCUGGAGAUGGUCACGUGGAAGGCGCUCCCAAGCCCGCUCCUCUGACAAAGUUUAGCAAACAGCUUAUCUCCCAGAAAACACGUGAGGUAAUGUUUAUGAAAUAUCAUCCUGUCCCCUUCACCAGGCUGUGGGGUGCUGGCAUGACUGAACAUUGCUGCUGGUGGCUGGGUCACCCUGCCCCGCCUCCCCUCAGUAGGGUAGGAAACUUCUAUCUAACCUUCCCCACAGCAGGUCUGGACAGUAAUGUUCUAUAGAUGUGUCCAGUGAGUUUAAAUCUUCAUGGUUUAAGAUGUAGCUGUGUAUGGAAUGGACAUAGUUUUCUUUAGGAGGAGACAGGCAGAGAGUAGCAGAGCAUUUUUGUCUAAAGUUGUAAAAAUCAGUUGGUGGCCUGGUGACUCUGCAAGUCUCUUCUGAACUGUUCUGCAGUAAAUAUUUAUUUUAAAAAGUAAGGAUAGAUAAAUGGAUAGUUUCAUGGGUGGACAGAAAGUGGAUAGCUGGCCAGGUGUGGUGGCACGUGCCUGUAAUCACAAAACUCAAGAAGAUAAGGCAGGAGACUUGUGAGAUUCAUUCCAAUGCGGACUACGUAUAAGAUGCCAUUUCGAACACAUAAAUGGGGGACAAUGAAGGGAAGGAAAGAAGGAGGAAGUAGUGAGGGGAGACACACACACUCAGAGGGAGAGAGAGAGAGAUGGGAGAAGAGGAGAGUUGAAGGGAGGAGAGGGGAGGAGAGGAAAAGAGAGACUAGAUACAUGGUUAGAGAAGGGAAUAUGUAAGAGUAGUUAGUUCUGGAAGAAUACACUGAAAACUUCGGGGUCUCUGGAGUAAGAAUGGGAAAGCUGGUGUGUGUGUGUGUGUGUGUGCCUGCAUGUUUUGUGUGGGUUUGAGUAUAUGUACAUGUGUGUGUAGUGUGUUUGUGUAUGUGUAUGUAGGUAUGUGUACUCUUGUAUGUUUGAGUAUAUUUGUGUGUGUGGUAUGUAUGUAAUCAGAAGAAAAACUGUCAUAAACAAUACUCUUUACUCUUGCUCCUUUGUCCCCUCUGAACUGCCGUAAUUCUUCGGUGUGAGCACAUUUUCUUUUCUUCUAUCUCUGCACACCUUCCACAAGGAUCAGAGCCACACUGGAGAGAAGGUAUUGGAGAUGUUCUGAGGAAGCCACAAUCAUUUCCUCUCUGAUGCUCUCAGAUACCUGGGCAGCUCCAACACGCGCUGUGAAGCACAGUCAUGGUGAAUGGAUGAAGCCCAGAUUUUGAUGUCUGAGAGCCACACCGGGGCUGCCCCAAUGACUUCUAUCCAAAACUGAUGACCACAGACUCCCUUGGUGGUGCCAGAGGAGAGAAAUCUACCUCCAUCCACUGACAAGCCAUCCUGCCACGUGCUAGACAUCGGUGUGAAGGAGAAGAACACAGAGACCAUUCCUGAACAAGGAAGGUGUGCAGGAGAAUGGAACAGGGGCCAAGACUGUACUUCAGAGAGAUGGGAGGCCAGGUAGUGUCUAAUGAGGCCAGAUGGGCAGAAAAGGUUCAAUGGUGUCCAGGAGAGCAGCGGCUGGAGCUGGGUCUUCAAGGGCACUGUACACUGUGACCAGCAGAUGUGACUGACACAGGUGCUUUCAGCUGCUUCAGAAACAGGGCAGUGAUACAUGGGGACCUGCAUCGCAACUGAGUUCCAGGAGUCCUGAGGCAGAAAGGGUACCGUGCAGUGGGAAGGCCCAGGGAGAUCACAUGUUAUAGGCUAGGGGACUACGGCAGUAACAAGAGGUAGAGUCCACACACAUGCAGCUUCUUGUGUGCUUAGGAACAGAGGUUACAAUGAAUAAUUUUGGGGUGCAGGGCCCUCAUCUUUGAUCCCUAUGACUUCAGUUGGGAGAGGAGGAUUAUAUUAGUCUAUAUUUUCCUUUAUCAGAUGGCUUUAGAAAAACACACUGAAGCCGGGCGGUGGUGGCGCACGCCUUUAAUUCCAG